GUUUGAGCAGGAAAAUCGGAGGCUGGUGAGUGAGAUGAAUAGCCUGGUGGAUGAAGUCAGGCAGAUUGAAGGUAAGGUGGUGGAGAUCUCGUGGCUGCAGGAGAUUUUUGCUGAGAAAGUUCUGCAGCAGGAGACAGAAAUUGAUAAUAUUCAUCAGCUGGUUGUUGGAGCCACAGAAAAUGUUAAAGAAGGCAAUGAAGACAUUCGAGAGGUGAGCAACACACAUCCAGCAUGUUAACAUACAGACACAGCAGUUUUCUUCACACUGGUUCUACUCGGUAUUACUGACUCAUUGCACUUUGAACCCUGAAGAUGUAGCUAGAUGAGCCCUGCUGUGUGAAAACGGCCCG